UGUUGUGUGACAGUCAGGAAAGAGUGACAGAGAUGAAAUGAAGCUGGGUUGGAAUUGCUUCUUCAAACCCUUGACAUUUGUUCCUUUCUUUCCUGGCUCUGAUCUACACGAUAUACAUAGUUGUUGUUGUUGUUUUCCCUGCUAAUAACAAGACAGUGCAGCACUGGAUUAGAGAUUGAGUGAGUGAAAAAUGGGACUGGCGAUAAGGCUUUCCCUGUGCCCGGGGGGAGGCUCAUUAAGUGGGAGAUCAGAUCGCUACAAAAUACAUACAUGAAUAAAACCAACGACUAACAAAGUUCUCCCUGCAACUUGCUGAUGAGAAAGCGUUCGAUCCAGCACACUCGGGCGUGGGAGGAGGCUUUGCUGCUCGCUUGGCUGCCGAGUUUGGACGCGUCACUUGGCCCCGGUGCCCAGCACGGGUGUUGGGGCGGGUGGAUCUGCUGUCAGCACCUGCACGGGGCUGGGUCCCACCGAAAAACACACGCAGACACAGUGCAACAGGUCCCUGCCUUCCCCGCCGCCGUCCUGCUCCCUCCAGAGACCUUUCGCCUUUUGUCAAGGGCCCACAUUUAUGACUUGAUGAAAACAUUUGUAAUAGAUCAUCAAAUACUGAUACAUUCUGCGGGACAAUAUCCCAUUUGUUAAAUAUAAAUUAACAUUAACACAGAUCCCCCGUCGCAGAAAGGCGAAGGGGUUUUGACACCUUUUCAGCAGGACAGGCCGGGCCCCAGCGAAGAAAGCCGAGGGCCUGUAAAGGAACUUGUCCCGAAUGGUGAUCCUCAGGCUCUUGUGUGACAAGACGGCACUCGACUGGGCAGUGAAGCACGGCAAUCUUGAGAUGGCAGAGAUGGUCGCCAAAGCAGGCGUCGAUGUCAAUGCUAAAUCGUAUGUCACUUAUUUCAUUGUGACAGGGGUAAUGUAUUUGUAAACUGUGCUAUAAAUAUUGGAAUCUCAUAUUCAGACACUGGC